GAUGAACGCUGGCGGCGUGCCUAAUACAUGCAAGUCGAACGGAGCGGGGACGGGUGAGUAACACGUGGAUAACCUCCUAUAAGACUGGGAUAACUUCGGGGAACCGGAGCCAAACCCGAUUAUUAUCGAUGGAUGCGUGCGGCAUUAGCUAGUUGGUAAGGUAACGGCUUACCAAGGCAACGAUGCCUAGCCGAUCUGAGAGGGUGAUCGGCCACACUGGAACUGAGACACGGUCCAGACUCCUACGGGAGGCAGCAGUAGGGAAUCUUCCGCAAUGGGCGAAAGCCUGACGGAGCAACGCCGCGUGAGUGAUGAAGGUCUUCGGAUCGUAAAACUCUGUUAUUAGGGAAGCGGUACCUAAUCAGAAAGCCACGGCUAACUCCGUGCCAGCAGCCGCGGUAAUAC
rnacentral:rRNA from 1 species